rnacentral:misc_RNA from 1 species
UAUCAAUCUUCUCUCUCUUGCAAAGCUCUCUAGUCUCUUCAGACUCAUCACCCAUCACCAGCAAGAACUCCACAUCACUGCAAGUCCUACUCAAGUCCACCAUGAAAGGGUAUAUCUUGCUGCUCUGCUUGCUGUGACUAGCUGCGUACUCCACAACAACCAGCUUGUUUUUCGCCAUUCGAAGCGCUUCAUCGAACUGGCCUAUGCUGUGGACUUGCUGUACUCUUUCGUCG